UAACGCGUGGGUAACCUGCCUUGCACUGGGGGAUAACACUUAGAAAUAGGUGCUAAUACCGCAUAACAGUAGGAGACGCAUGUCUUUUACUUGAAAACUCCGGUGGUGUAAGAUGGACCCGCGUCUGAUUAGCUUGUUGGCGGGGUAACGGCCCACCAAGGCAACGAUCAGUAGCCGGCCUGAGAGGGUGAACGGCCACAUUGGGACUGAGACACGGCCCAAACUCCUACGGGAGGCAGCAGUGGGGAAUAUUGGACAAUGGGGGGAACCCUGAUCCAGCGACGCCGCGUGAGUGAAGAAGUAUUUCGGUAUGUAAAGCUCUAUCAGCAGGGAAGAAAGAAAUGACGGUACCUGACUAAGAAGCCCCGGCUAACUACGUGCCAGCAGCCGCGGUAAUACGUAGGGGGCAAGCGUUAUCCGGAUUUACUGGGUGUAAAGGGAGCGUAGACGGCGAUGCAAGUCUGAAGUGAAAGGCGGGGGCCCAACCCCCGGACUGCUUUGGAAACUGUAUGGCUGGAGUGCAGGAGAGGUAAGUGGAAUUCCUAGUGUAGCGGUGAAAUGCGUAGAUAUUAGGAGGAACACCAGUGGCGAAGGCGGCUUACUGGACUGUAACUGACGUUGAGGCUCGAAAGCGUGGGGAGCAAACAGGAUUAGAUACUCUGGUAGU
rnacentral:rRNA from 1 species